UACGUAGGGUGCGGGCGUUAAUCGGAAUUACUGGGCGUAAAGCGUGCGCAGGCGGUCUGUUAAGACCGAUGUGAAAUCCCCGGGCUUAACCUGGGAACUGCAUUUGUGACUGCAUGGCUGGAGUGCGGCAGAGGGGGAUGGAAUUCCGCGUGUAGCAGUGAAAUGCGUAGAUAUGCGGAGGAACACCGAUGGCGAAGGCAGUCCCCUGGGCCUGCACUGACGCUCAUGCACGAAAGCGUGGGGAGCAAACAGG
rnacentral:rRNA from 1 species